GAUGAACGCUGGCGGCGUGCCUAAUACAUGCAAGUCGAACGCUUUGUGGUUCAACUGAUUUGAAGAGCUUGCUCAGAUAUGACGAUGGACAUUGCAAAGAGUGGCGAACGGGUGAGUAACACGUGGGAAACCUACCUCUUAGCAGGGGAUAACAUUUGGAAACAGAUGCUAAUACCGUAUAACAAUGACAACCGCAUGGUUGUUAUUUAAAAGAUGGUUCUGCUAUCACUAAGAGAUGGUCCCGCGGUGCAUUAGCUAGUUGGUAAGGUAAUGGCUUACCAAGGCGAUGAUGCAUAGCCGAGUUGAGAGACUGAUCGGCCACAAUGGGACUGAGACACGGCCCAUACUCCUACGGGAGGCAGCAGUAGGGAAUCUUCCACAAUGGGCGAAAGCCUGAUGGAGCAACGCCGCGUGUGUGAUGAAGGGUUUCGGCUCGUAAAACACUGUUGUAAGAGAAGAAUGACAUUGAGAGUAACUGUUCAAUGUGUGACGGUAUCUUACCAGAAAGGAACGGCUAAAUACGUGCCAGCAGCCGCGGUAAUACGUAUGUUCCAAGCGUUAUCCGGAUUUAUUGGGCGUAAAGCGAGCGCAGACGGUUAUUUAAGUCUGAAGUGAAAGCCCUCAGCUCAACUGAGGAAUUGCUUUGGAAACUGGAUGACUUGAGUGCAGUAGAGGAAAGUGGAACUCCAUGUGUAGCGGUGAAAUGCGUAGAUAUAUGGAAGAACACCAGUGGCGAAGGCGGCUUUCUGGACUGUAACUGACGUUGAGGCUCGAAAGUGUGGGUAGCAAACAGGAUUAGAUACCCUGGUAGUCCACACCGUAAACGAUGAGUGCUAGGUGUUUGAGGGUUUCCGCCCUUAAGUGCCGCAGCUAACGCAUUAAGCACUCCGCCUGGGGAGUACGACCGCAAGGUUGAAACUCAAAGGAAUUGACGGGGACCCGCACAAGCGGUGGAGCAUGUGGUUUAAUUCGAAGCAACGCGAAGAACCUUACCAGGUCUUGACAUCCCUUGACAACUCCAGAGAUGGAGCGUUCCCUUCGGGGACAAGGUGACAGGUGGUGCAUGGUUGUCGUCAGCUCGUGUCGUGAGAUGUUGGGUUAAGUCCCGCAACGAGCGCAACCCUUAUUACUAGUUGCCAGCAUUCAGUUGGGCACUCUAGUGAGACUGCCGGUGACAAACCGGAGGAAGGUGGGGAUGACGUCAAAUCAUCAUGCCCCUUAUGACCUGGGCUACACACGUGCUACAAUGGCGUAUACAACGAGUUGCCAACCCGCGAGGGUGAGCUAAUCUCUUAAAGUACGUCUCAGUUCGGAUUGUAGGCUGCAACUCGCCUACAUGAAGUCGGAAUCGCUAGUAAUCGCGGAUCAGCACGCCGCGGUGAAUACGUUCCCGGGUCUUGUACACACCGCCCGUCACACCAUGAGAGUUUGUAACACCCAAAGCCGGUGGGGUAACCUUCGGGAGCCAGC
rnacentral:rRNA from 1 species